rnacentral:rRNA from 1 species
AUUGAACGCUAGCGGGAUGCCUUACACAUGCAAGUCGAACGGAGUGGCGAACGGGUGAGUAAUGUAUCGGAACGUGCCCAGUAGCGGGGGAUAACUACGCGAAAGCGUAGCUAAUACCGCAUACUAUCGGAGCGGCCGAUAUCGGAUUAGCGAGUUGGUGGGGUAAAGGCUCACCAAGGCGACGAUCCGUAGCGGGUUUGAGAGGACGACCAGCCACACUGGGACUUAGACACGGCCCAGACUCCUACGGGAGGCAGCAGUGGUGAAUUUUGGACACUGGGGGAAACCCUGAUCCAGCCAUCCCGCGUGUGCGAUGAAGGCCUUCGGGUUGUAAAGCACUUUUGGCAGGAAAGCGGUACCUUCAGAAUAAGCACCGGCUAACUACGUGCCAGCCGCCGCGUUAAUAC